rnacentral:rRNA from 1 species
AACGAACGCUGGCGGCAUGCCUAACACAUGCCAGUCGAACGAGACCUUCGGGUCUAGUGGCGCACGGGUGCGUAACGCGUGGGAACCUGCCCUUAGGUUCGGAAUAACUCCCCGAAAGGGGUGCUAAUACCGGAUAAUGUCUUCGGACCAAAGAUUUAUCGCCUUUGGAUGGGCCCGCGUUGGAUUAGCUAGUUGGUAGGGUAAAAGCCUACCAAGGCGACGAUCCAUAGCUGGUCUGAGAGGAUGAUCAGCCACACUGGGACUGAGACCCGGCCCAGACUCCUACGGGAGGCAGCAGUGGGGAAUAUUGGACAAUGGGCGAAAGCCUGAUCCAGCAAUGCCGCGUGAGUGAUGAAGGCCUUAGGGUUGUAAAGCUCUUUUACCCGGGAUGAUAAUGACAGUACCGGGAGAAUAAGCUCCGGCUAACUCCGUG